GAUGAACGCUAGCUACAGGCUUAACACAUGCAAGUCGAGGGGAAACGGCAUCGAAAGCUUGCUUUUGAUGGGCGUCGACCGGCGCACGGGUGAGUAACGCGUAUCCAACCUGCCCAUCACUUGGGAAUAACCUUGCGAAAGUAAGACUAAUGCCCAAUGACAUCCCACGAAGGCAUCCGAAUGGGAUUAAAGAUUUAUCGGUGAUGGAUGGGGAUGCGUCUGAUUAGCUUGUUGGCGGGGUGACGGCCCACCAAGGCAACGAUCAGUAGGGGUUCUGAGAGGAAGGUCCCCCACAUUGGAACUGAGACACGGUCCAAACGCCUACGGCAGGCAGCAGUGAGGGAUAUUGGUCAAUGGGCGAGAGCCUGAACCAGCCAAGUAGCGUGCAGGAUGACGGCCCUAUGGGUUGUAAACUGCUUUUAUAAGGGAAUAAAGUGGGUCACGUGUGACUUUUUGCAUGUACCUUAUGAAUAAGGACCGGCUAAUUCCGUG
rnacentral:rRNA from 1 species